UACGUAGGGUGCGAGCGUUAAUCGGAAUUACUGGGCGUAAAGCGUGUGUAGGCGGCUGCGCAAGUCGGAUGUGAAAGCCCCGGGCUCAACCCGGGAAGUGCACCCGAAACUGCGUAGCUUGAGUACCGGAGAGGUUGGUGGAAUUCUCGGUGUAGAGGUGAAAUUCGUAGAUAUCGAGAGGAACACCGGUGGCGAAGGCGGCCAACUGGACGAGUACUGACGCUGAGACACGAAAGCGUGGGGAGCAAACAGG
rnacentral:rRNA from 1 species